rnacentral:rRNA from 1 species
CCUACGGGUGGCAGCAGUGAGGAAUAUUGGUCAAUGGACGAGAGUCUGAACCAGCCAAGUCGCGUGAAGGAUGACUGCCCUAUGAGUUGUAAACUUCUUUUAUAAGGGGAUAAAUCGAGGUACGUGUACCUGUUUGCAAGUACCGUAUGAAUAAGGAUCGGCUAACUCCGUGCCAGCAGCCGCGGUAAUACGGAGGAUUCAAGCGUUAUCCGGAUUUAUUGGGUUUAAAGGGUGCGUAGACGGGUCGUUAAGUCAGUGGUGAAAUCCUGGGGCUCAACCGUAGCACUGCAUCUGAUACUGGCGGUCUAGAGUAUAGUUGAGGUAGGCGGAAUGCGUGGUGUAGCGGUGAAAUGCAUAGAGAUCACACAGAACACCGAUUGCGAAGGCAGCUUACCAAACUACGACUGACGUUGAGGCACGAAAGUGUGGGGAGCAAACAGGAUUAGAUACCCUAGUAGUC